GAUGAAGAACGCAGCAAAUGCGAUACGUAAUGUGAAUUGCAGAAUUCAGUGAAUCAUCGAGUCUUUGAACGCACAUUGCGCCCCCUGGUAUUCCGGGGGGCAUGCCUGUCCGAGCGUCAUUGCUGCCCUCAAGCACGGCUUGUGUGUUGGGCCUCCGUCCUCCUCCCGGGGGACGGGCCCGAAAGGCAGCGGCGGCACCGCGUCCGGUCCUCGAGCGUAUGGGGCUUCGUCACCCGCUCUUGUAGGCCCGGCCGGCGCUUGCCGACACAUCAAUCUUUUUUCCAGGUUGACCUCGGAUCAGGUAGGGAUACCCGCUGAACUUAAGCAUAUCAAUAAGCGGAGGA
rnacentral:misc_RNA from 1 species